UCUCAUAUCAAUUUGCUGUAAUAGUCGGAUUAAAGACUUGGUGCUAAAGGCCAUUGCUUUGCCAAUUAUUACAUUGUUACUAACUUUGGGAAUCCAGGCUGGGUCAUCACAGAAUAUUAGCAGAGCCAGUUUCCUAAAGGGAUUCAUUUUUGGGACGACCUCUUUUGCCUUCUAGUGCAGAUUUCGACAACGAAAGGUGAAAAGCGGUAAAUCAAAUAUCCACACCGGCGACUGGUGCUAAAAAAUGUUGUUGGCUGGUGGCAAGCAUUAAAUCGGGGUGGGAAUGAAGGGGGAUUCGUUUACAGGUGAGGAGAAAUUUUUUGGAAAAUAUCUUACGAAAUGAAAAUGGUAAGAUGUUUUCUUAAAAUAAAGGGCUUCUUUUCCCGUGUUUUUGAAAAGAUUUUACAAUAGGAAGUCAUUUUCCACCAAACAAACAACGAAAAAGAAUGAAAAUGUUUUCUGUAAAAUAUUUUACAGGUAAACAAACACAAUCUAAUUGUUGUUACGUAUAAUACGCUUGGAUCAACAAGUUUAUCACAACUUCUCAUUAUUGUGUCGAACACUUGAUCAAGAAUUUUCAGAAUGCAUUUUUAAAUACAAAAAUCUCUUACAAAUAAAAUAAAUUUUGAAAUGCUAAAUCCUUCAAAUAUUUUGAACACCUUAAGUUCAUAAACAAAUUGUUUCAUCUUAAUUUUUGGGGAAAAACAAGAGCAAAUUCAUUAACUAGAAAUUGUAAGGUUCUACCUCGAAGGGAACCCAUCCUGAAAUUCUCAAAGGCCAGGGUAGAACCAAGGACUAAGAGGGGGUCUGGAAAUGGUUUUCAACCUGCAAUAGAUGCGCCUCGGUUAAAACCUCACUAGCUGCGUCAUUGCCCCAAGCGCAAAGAUGGCUUGACCAGACCUUUUUAGCUCCAUUUUAUAGCAGGUGCAAGAUUUGUCUGAGUUAUUGUCCAGUACAUGUGGGAUAUAAUAGCCUAAUAAUUUUGUGUAUUUUGUUGUUACCUUGUUUAGCUUCUAGUGUAGUUACUUUUCUUGUUUAACUUCACAAGAAAAAUAAAUAAAUAAAUGUGUAAUUAAAACAUUUUACCUAUAUUAAAUAAUAAUGCUAUAAAAA